rnacentral:rRNA from 1 species
AACGAACGCUGGCGGCAUGCCUAACACAUGCAAGUCGAACGAGACCUUCGGGUCUAGUGGCGCACGGGUGCGUAACGCGUGGGAACCUGCCCUUAGGUUCGGAAUAACUCCCCGAAAGGGGUGCUAAUACCGGGUAAUGUCUUCGGACCAAAGAUUUAUCGCCUUUGGAUGGGCCCGCGUUGGAUUAGCUAGUUGGUAGGGUAAAAGCCUACCAAGGCGACGAUCCAUAGCUGGUCUGAGAGGAUGAUCAGCCACACUGGGACUGAGACACGGCCCAGACUCCUACGAGAGGCAGCAGUGGGGAAUAAUGGACAAUGGGCGAAAGCCUGAUCCAGCAAUGCCGCGUGAGUGAUGAAGGCCUUAGGGUUGUAAAGCUCUUUUACCCGGGAUGAUAAUGACAGUACCGGGAGAAUAAGCUCCGGCUAACUACGUG